AACAGGAGCAGAUCUCUCUCAGGGAGCGAAGCCCGCCCCGCACAGCGCCAAGCGGAGCGCCGAUCAAAAAGACGGUUCGAAACUAUUUUACACUCCGGGGUGAAUUCUAAAGCGGAACGGCGUCGGGGCUGGGCCUCCCGGAGGCCCAAAGGAAAAUAGUAAUGAGGGGCACGCACGGAGCUUCCGAGAUUUGUCAGAGCCUCUUCCAUUUCUGUGACGAUAACGAGGACAUGUGUUUCUACUUUUCGAUUCGUAUGAAAUCGUGGAAAUUAUGAUCAUGGCCAAAUGCUCCCUGCACGGGAACUUGCUAACCAAAGCAGAUCCGCUCCUCAGCUGGCCCGGGCCGCAGAGAAGUGCCGCCCGCGUCCCAGCGGAGCUGCUCCCGGCAGAAGAGAAGAGCCGCCGCCCGGCCCGACUCUCCGCCGAGGUCCGGAUUCGACCUAAAAGUGAGGAGAGGCAAAGCCCGGCGCUGGGAGAUGGGUGGCCCCGCGGCGAACAUUGCUGCGGCCCCGCGGAUGGCCGCCGCCGCCCCUGCGCACCCGCAGCCCGCACCGCGGAGGGCGGAGAGUCGCAGCUGGGCCUCGGCAUGCCCAGGAAGCAGGACGAGUUAUAGACUGGGCUGUACGCAUUACCGAUGAUCAUUUAAUGCAAGAUCUAUACGAUUUUAGAAAUGGUACCACUGAAUUCAGCGGGAAAAUCAUAGAGGGAAUGUGUUUUGUUUUGUUUUGUUUUUUCAAACAAAAAAAAUAAUUAAACUAGCCCUUUCUCCAAACCGCAA
rnacentral:lncRNA from 1 species